GUGAUUCUUCCGCUUCAGCCUCCUGAGUAACUGGGAAUACAGUUUGGUUAGCCUUCUCCUUGUUGUUAGGAUGAAGUGCUGACUCCCAAGCUUCGUGCUUGCUGGACUGGAAAUUGGAAGUCUGCCUGCCAGUUUUAAGAACCUAAAAAGUGAUGAACUGAAAAUGUCAGCCUGAGCUGACCAGCGCUUAUCCUCAUGUGACCUUGGGUGAAUUAAUGGACAUCUCUGAACCUCCAUUUUCUCCUGUGUAAAAUAGCAGCUGCAGCAAAAAUGAAAUAUCAAUAAUCUCUGAAAAGAAUUUAGCUCAGUGUUUGGUGAAGAUUGCCUCUCCUGAAGUCUAGAAAAGGGCUGGUUUGUUUGGAAGGCUGUGCCACGUGGCAAGAAGAGAAUAAACAUCUUGGGAAUUCUGGCUGUGCUGUACAUUUGCUGUGUGGCCUUCGGCAAGCUACUGACUUCUCUGAACUCAGGAUCUACAAACUGAGGAUAAGCAACAGGAGAAUCUCUGUGAAGUACUUUAAAAACAGGAGAUGUUUGUCUGAUAGUCUGCACCUCAAAGGAACCAAACGAAUGCAGAGGAUCCCCUGCCACAGGAAUCACUGUCUCCAAUGCCAUGCCUGGCAGGUAAUGUACAUGAGUAAACAGGGUCAGGUGAGGACUGAGGUGAACUGAAAAUUCCAUGCCCUAUUUUAUGAGGACAGCUUCUACCUAGUUCUAACAGGCUGUUAUCAAGAUGAAAUGUGAGCCCACAGUUGAAUGCCACUAGAUAUUUAAAGAGAAAAGCUACAAAAUUUUUACAAUUUCUUUUUUUUUUUUGAGAUGGAAUCUCG
rnacentral:lncRNA from 1 species